UACGAAGGGGGCUAGCGUUGCUCGGAAUCACUGGGCGUAAAGCGCACGUAGGCGGCUUUCUAAGUCAGGGGUGAAAUCCUGGAGCUCAACUCCAGAACUGCCUUUGAUACUGGAGAGCUUGAGUCCGGAAGAGGUGAGUGGAACUCCGAGUGUAGAGGUGAAAUUCGUAGAUAUUCGGAAGAACACCAGUGGCGAAGGCGGCUCACUGGUCCGGUACUGACGCUGAUGUGCGAAAGCGUGGGGAGCAAACAGG
rnacentral:rRNA from 1 species